rnacentral:rRNA from 1 species
CCUACGGGAGGCAGCAGUGGGGAAUAUUGCACAAUGGGGGGAACCCUGAUGCAGCGACGCCGCGUGAGUGAAGAAGUAUUUCGGUAUGUAAAGCUCCAUCAGCAGGGAAGAAAAUGACGGUACCUGAUUAAGAAGCCCCGGCUAACUACGUGCCAGCAGCCGCGGUAACACGGAGGGGGCAAGCGUUAUCCGGAUUUACCGGGUGUAAAGGGGGCGUAGACGGCAGCGCAAGUCUGAAGUGAAAUGCCGGGGCUUAACCCCGGAACUGCUGUGGAAACUGGGCAGCUAGAGUGCAGGAGAGGUAAGUGGAAUUCCUAGUGUAGCGGUGAAAUGCGUAGAUAUUAGGAGGAACACCAGUGGCGAAGGCAGCUUACUGGAGCGUAACUGACGUUGAGGCUCGAAAGCGUGGGGAGCGAACAGGAUUAGAUACCCCAGUAGUC